rnacentral:rRNA from 1 species
GAUGAACGCUGGCGGCGUGCUUAACACAUGCAAGUCGAACGGAAAGGCCACAGCUUGCUGUGGUACUCGAGUGGCGAACGGGUGAGUAACACGUGGGUGAUCUGCCCUGUACUUCGGGAUAAGCUUGGGAAACUGGGUCUAAUACCGGAUAGGAAUCACAUGUCGGUGUGUGGUUGGAAAGCUUUUGCGGUAUGGGAUGAGCUCGCGGCCUAUCCGCUUGUUGGUGGGGUAAUGGCCUACCAAGGCGUCGACGGGUAGCCGGCCUGAGAGGGUGUACGGCCACAUUGGGACUGCGAUACGGCCCAGACUCCUACGGGAGGCAGCAGUGGGGAGUAUUGCACAGUGGGCGCAAGCCUGAUGCAGCGACGCCGCGUGGGGGAUGACGGCCUUCGGGUUGUAAACUCCUUUCGUCAGGGACGAAGCGAAAGUGACGGUACCUGGAGAAGAAGCACCGGCUAACUACGUG